GAGAAGAGGUCUCUCCCAAGCGUCAAAGAGUGGAAUGUAUUGAUCCUGUGCUCGCCUUGAAAAAUCCUUUGAGAGAAAGAAGUUUCCCUCAAGAAUUCAAGUAGGAGAAGGCAAGAGGAGGGUGGCCAGCCAAGGUGAGAGAUUUGGAGAGAUUAAGAAUGAUGUAGAACUUCAACAUCCUCAUACCCUUGAGGAUGUAUUUCAUUAUGCUCUCAUUGAAAAAUAAAAUAAGUCGAUUCUCAUCUCUAGGAGUAGAACACAAUACAUCACUUAUUCUACCCAAGGGUCUAUUGUUUGGCGUAAUCCUUUAGAGGUGACACACCAUUGUCUGAUUAUGAAUCGGGAGAUUUGAUUGAGUGUCUAAUAGGAAAUACUUGAGUUCGCAAGUAACCCUAAGGUAACACUUGAGUUCGCAAGCAACCCUAGUCAAAAUCAGCCCAAAACAGUGAGCAAAACUGCUGUCCCAGCAGUUUACAGCAGCUUCGCAGCAGGAAAUGCACCCAAACAGAGAAAAAUAAG